AAGGAUGAGAAGCUUCGACUAAGGUUCGACUCGAGCGAAGCGAGAGAACGUUGCCGCAGGCAAUGGCCCGAAGGGCGAGGCGUUUUAGCGCCGAGUAAUCCUCCCCCCACCACUG
rnacentral:sRNA from 1 species